GACGAACGCUGGCGGCGUGCUUAACACAUGCAAGUCGAACGGAAAGGCCCUGCCUUUGUGGGGUGCUCGAGUGGCGAACGGGUGAGUAACACGUGAGUAACCUGCCCUUGACUUUGGGAUAACUUCAGGAAACUGGGGCUAAUACCGGAUAGGAGCUCCUGCUGCAUGGUGGGGGUUGGAAAGUUUCGGCGGUUGGGGAUGGACUCGCGGCUUAUCAGCUUGUUGGUGGGGUAGUGGCUUACCAAGGCUUUGACGGGUAGCCGGCCUGAGAGGGUGACCGGCCACAUUGGGACUGAGAUACGGCCCAGACUCCUACGGGAGGCAGCAGUGGGGAAUAUGGCACAAUGGGCGGAAGCCUGAUGCAGCAACGCCGCGUGCGGGAUGACGGCCUUCGGGUUGUAAACCGCUUUCGCCUGUGACGAAGCGUGAGGGACGGUAAUGGGUAAAGAAGCACCGGCUAACUACGG
rnacentral:rRNA from 1 species